UACGUAGGUGGCAAGCGUUGUCCGGAUUUAUUGGGUUUAAAGGAUGCGUAGGCGGUCAAGUAAGUCAGCGGUGAAAUCCGGCAGCUCAACUGUCGAUGUGCCAUUGAUACUGCAUGACUUGAGUACUGAUGAGGUAGGCGGAAUUGACGGUGUAGCGGUGAAAUGCUUAGAUAUCGUCAAGAACACCGAUAGCGAAGGCAGCUUACUAAGCAGUAACUGACGCUGAUGCACGAAAGUGUGGGGAUCAAACAGG
rnacentral:rRNA from 1 species